UCAUGCAAGUCGAACGGUGAAGCCCAGCUUGCUGGGUGGAUCAGUGGCGAACGGGUGAGUAACACGUGAGCAAUCUGCCCCUGACUCUGGGAUAAGCGCUGGAAACGGCGUCUAAUACCGGAUAUGAGCUACGGCCGCAUGGUCGGUAGUUGGAAAGAAUUUCGGUCAGGGAUGAGCUCGCGGCCUAUCAGCUUGUUGGUGAGGUAAUGGCUCACCAAGGCGUCNACGGGUAGCCGGCCUGAGAGGGUGACCGGCCACACUGGGACUGAGACACGGCCCANACUCCUACGGGAGGCAGCAGUGGGGAAUAUUGCACAAUGGGCGCAAGCCUGAUGCAGCAACGCCGCGUGAGGGAUGACGGCCUUCGGGUUGUAAACCUCUUUUAGCGAGGAAGAAGCGAAAGUGACGGUACUCGCAGAAAAAGCGCCGGCUAACUACGUGCCAGCAGCCGCGGUAAUACGUAGGGCGCAAGCGUUAUCCGGAAUUAUUGGGCGUAAAGAGCUCGUAGGCGGUUUGUCGCGUCUGCUGUGAAAACUGGAGGCUCAACCUCCAGCCUGCAGUGGGUACGGGCAGACUAGAGUGCGGUAGGGGAGAUUGGAAUUCCUGGUGUAGCGGUGGAAUGCGCAGAUAUCAGGAGGAACACCGAUGGCGAAGGCAGAUCUCUGGGCCGUAACUGACGCUGAGGAGCGAAAGGAUGGGGAGCAAACAGGCUUAGAUACCCUGGUAGUCCAUCCCGUAAACGUUGGGAACUAGUUGUGGGGUCCAUUCCACGGAUUCCGUGACGCAUCUAACGCAUUAAGUUCCCCGCCUGGGGAGUACGGCCGCAAGGCUAAAACUCWAAGGAAUUGACGGGGACCCGCACAAGCGGCGGAGCAUGCGGAUUAANUNCGAUGCAACGCGAAGAACCUUACCAANGGCUGGACAUAUACNAGAACCGGCUAGAGAUAGUCAACUCUUUGGACACUCGUAAACAGGUGGUUGNANNGGUUGUCGNCANCUCGUGUCGUUGAGAUGUUGGGAUUAAAGUCCCNCANCNNGCNGNAGCCCUCGUUCUNUGUUGCNGCNCGUNAUGGUGGGNNNNCAUGNANNCUGCCUGGGGUCAACUCNGAAGNACGGNNNGAUGACGNCAANNAUCAUGGCCCNUAUGUNCUUGGNUUCACGCNGGCUANNNGGCNNNNNNNNNGCAAUCCGUAGUGGA
rnacentral:rRNA from 1 species